AUGGUUUUUAAGCUCGACUUCCGCAAAGCCUUCGACUCUGUGGCUUGGCCUGCCCUGGACAGGAUACUGACCGUUCGUGGUUUCUCUCAAACCUUCCGUAACUGGAUCCAAAACAUUCUCCACACGGGCAAAGCUGCCAUUCUACUCAACGGUGUUCCAGGCAACUCAAUUUAA
rnacentral:rRNA from 1 species